AUCGCUUGUCGUUUUUGGUGGCGUUCUCAUUGCAUUGCUUUCCAUUGUGAUUUGCAUCGUCUUGUGCUGCUCCGUUUUGCCCAAUGCGGAAGCUGUGAACGAUUGCAAACGAUUGAAUGCAUUAUCACUCACUGUCACUUCAUUGCAGUGAAGACAUUGAAGUCUUACUACCGUGCAGUGCGUGUCAGGUUUUUGAAUUGCUUUACGUUGUGUGGUAGCCAUCUUGUGGGUAAUUGGAUAACUCGACAUUCGCGCGGCUCAAUUUGCAUUAUCGAUCGAUAGGCUUUCGUCAUCGCUACAGCAUCCAGAUGCUCUUCUUGUCAAUGUUACAAUUUAUCAUGAUCAGGUUGCGAAUGAUAUCAUGCUUCGAAAUCAUGUAGAGAUUGCUGGCAUUAGUACGUGGACCAUGCAGUUAUUACACAGCUACAGUACCCAUUGGCUGGCCACCUCAAGCUUUUGCUCUGAUUGUGGAUACUGGCAGUACCAUUACUUACGUUCCCUGUUCAUCUUGCUCUCAUUGUGUCUCCCACCAGGACCCAAGAUUCAAGCCAAACCAAUCGAGCACCUACACUGCAAUCCAUUGCGACGACCUAGAUUGUGAAAUGGGAACUUGCAUUUACAACAACCAGUGCAGUUAUGCCAGACACUAUGUGGAGCAGAGCUACAUCAGUGGGUACCCCUAGCCGGGACUUUGUGCGGUUGGGAGUCGGCAGCUUCGCCUUGAGUCGGUCUUUAAUUUUUGGUUGUGAAACUACCGAGAGCGGAAACUUAUACUCGCAGCUCGCGGAUGGGAUAAUGGGCCUUGCCCGAGGAUCUUUUGCUAUCGUGGACUAGCUGAACGCGCAAGGGGCGAUUGCGAGUGCGUUUUCGCUUUGCUAUGGCGGCAUGGACGAGGAAGGGGGAACAGUGAUAUUGGGAGCCAUACUUCCCAGCUACGGAAUGGUCUUCACCCGUUCAAAUCCCUCUCGCAGCUAGUACUACAACGUCGUCUCGCGGGAGAUUCGGAUCCAAGGCGAGCCUUUGCCAGUAAAGCCCAGUGUCUUCGAUGGACGCGACGGCACAAUCCUCGACAGUGGAACUAUGUUUGCGUAUCUUCCAGAGAAAACAUUCAAUGCCUUCCGAGAUGCUGUGAGAACCUCCAAUCUCAUCUAUGCAUCUGCUGCCGCAGGGAUUGCACGUUUAUCAUGAUUGUGAUGAUAAUUUCUGCAGGGGAAAUGACUUCCAAUAUGAAGGGACUUGGAAAUAGUUGGGCAGUUUGUUCGAGGUGUGAAAGACCUCGAAGAAAUCGAUGGUCCCGAUGCAAAUUUCAAAGAUAAAUGCUACUCAGGUGGGGGGAGGUAAACGCCAACGCGAACAUACUAAUAAGACUGCCAACAGCUUAUCGUCAAAGUACACUUUCAUGACCUGGUUGUAAAUGCGGUUGAUGCAGUGACCUGGAGAAUUUAAGCUCCUGUUUCUCAUCGAUCGACUUCGUAUUUGGAGACGAUAAGAUGGUGUCUUUGGCGGCAGAGAAUUACCUCUUCAGGGUAGGCACACACUCCCUUUCCCUUCAUUUUGGGACUAAAUGCUUCUCGACGACACGCGAUGCGAGGGCAACAUCAUCAACAUGAGUUGGAGAGAAGGAACAACCAUUGCAAUGUGCCAUCCAGGCCUGAAACUGCACACUCUUUCAUCUCGACUUCCAUCCCUGUGGGUCCUCACAGUUACCCGUGGUGGCUCUUGCGACGGCGACCUGCACAGUUUUGCAAUGUAUUCUCGAUGGUGGAUUCCAGGCUGCACACCAAAGCAUCGUGUUGGAACAACGGCAUGGAGUGACCCACCUUCGAGGAGCAGCAACACAACACAACACAUUACAAUUCUGCAAAGCUUCCUUUCCAUCCAUUAAUGCAACGCAAUGCAAUGGAAGCCCCAGCUGCCGUUUCGAACCUAGUCUCCUUUACGGUGUGUGCGUGUGUGCAUGUGUAUGUGUGUUAGUUCUGCAAUGCUAUCAUGCAGUGGAGUAUGCACCCGCAUUAGCAAACUGAUGCUCUUCGUAGUUUCAUUGCUAAUGAAUGACAAACAACAAGAACCAGACUUAUUGUGAAGAGGAGGAGGAAUGCAGAUCGUGCAUGAAAAUGAGCUCAGACUUGGUUCUGGUUGUCCUUCACCCUCAUUCACUCAAUCACCUUUAUCCCUGGGACACCACUUACUUACUUUAUUUAUUUAUAUAUCUAUCUAUCUAUCUAUCUAGAAGACUACUUUCAAAGUACUUGACACUAAAAUUCUUAUAAACAUUUAUUGAUUGGGAUAUAUAUAUAUAAAUUUUAUACAUUUUUUUCUUGAAA